AAGCACAAAACACACGCUGUUGAUUCUGAUGGAAAGAUCAGCUCCAAUGCUGAUGUUGACUUUUAUGUAGAUGAUGACAUGAUUCAUGUUAUAGAAUCUAAACCAGCUAAGCGGUAUGGGGAUUAUUUUCUGCGGCAAAUUGUCAAGCUUGAAGGCGUGAUGACCGAUGUCGACAGGGUAAAGUUGGAGUGAGUUCUGGACUGGAGCUACAGCCAUUUUUGUGCGGCAGAACAUUUUAAUUAGCUUGGCUUCCACCUCCCAGAAACUUGAGGAAAAGAAUGAGAUGAAAAAUGGACUGAUUUUCUUUUCUUAGACGUAGAGUUCCAUCAUUUGUGGCUAUUAUUUUUUGCUUGGAUGGGAUGGGGCUGAGUUCUGGGGAAAGAUGGGAGUGAGGGUUGGUGGGGUUAAGCAAGGGAAUGCAUGACUGAGAGAGAGACUUUU